ACUACCAUAGCUUAAUGGAAAAGCUCCCGAAAUGGAAGAAGGGGGGUUCAAUUCCCCCCGGUGGUA
rfam:Phytophthora parasitica INRA-310 unplaced genomic scaffold supercont2.2, whole genome shotgun sequence.